rnacentral:rRNA from 1 species
GAUGAACGCUCGCGAUAGGCUUAACACAUGCAAGUCGAGGGGCAGCACAAGGUAGCUUGCUAUCUGGGUGGCGACCGGCGCACGGGUGCGUAACGCGUAUGCAACUUGCCCUAUACAGGAGGAUAACCCGUCGAAAGACGGACUAAUACUGCGUAUGCUCACAACUUGGCAUCAAGUGGUGAGGAAAGAAAUUCGGUAUAGGAUAGGCAUGCGUCCCAUUAGCUUGUUGGUGAGGUAACGGCUCACCAAGGCAACGAUGGGUAGGGGAACUGAGAGGUUUAUCCCCCACACUGGUACUGAGACACGGACCAGACUCCUACGGGAGGCAGCAGUGAGGAAUAUUGGGCAAUGGGCGCGAGCCUGAACCAGCCAAGUCGCGUGAAGGAGGACUGUCUUAUGGAUUGUAAACUUCUUUUAUACGGGAAUAACAAGAGUCACGUGUGACUCCCUGCAUGUACCGUAUGAAUAAGCAUCGGCUAACUCCGUG